AGCCGGCGUAGCUCAAUCGGCAGAGCAGCUGAUUUGUAAUCAGCAGGUUUUGGGUUCGAGUCCCAACGCCGGCUCCAU
rnacentral:tRNA from 1 species